AGGUUAAGCUGUAAAGAGCACAAGGUGGAUGCCUUGGCACUAAGAGCCGAUGAAAGACGUGAUAAGCUGCGAAAAGCUGCGGUGAGGAGCAAAUAUCCUGUGACCCGCAGAUGUCUGAAUGGGGAAACCCGGCGGAGCAAACCUCCGUCACCGUAUUCUGAAUCCAUAGGGAUACGGAGGGAACCCGGUGAACUGAAACAUCUAAGUAGCCGGAGGAAGAGAAAGAAAAUUUAUCGAUUCUGUGAGUAGCGGCGAGCGAAAACGGAAGAGCCCAAACCAGCGUGCGUGCAUGCUGGGGUUCGGACUGCGUACGUUACAGAUGCGGUUAGCAGAACGGUCCUGGAAAGACCGGCCAGAGAGGGUGAAAGCCCCGUAAGCGAAAACCAAGUUUGGACAGCAGGAUCCAGAGUACCACGAGACACGAGAAACCUUGUGGGAAUAAGCGGGGACCACCCCGUAAGGCUAAAUACUCCUUAGUGACCGAUAGCGCAUAGUACUGUGAAGGAAAGGUGAAAAGGACCCCGGGAGGGGAGUGAAAGAGAACCUGAAACCUUGUGUUUACAAGCUGUGGAAGUACCAUCAGGGUACAACCGCGUACUUUUUGUAGAACGGUCCGGCGAGUUGUGGGUGCUGGCAAGGUUAAGUCCUUAAGGGACGGAGCCGAAGGGAAACCAAGUGUUAACAGCGCGUGAUAGAUGCUCUGCAUCUACGAAGUCAGUAUCUGCAGACCCGAAACCGGGUGAUCUAUCCAUGUCCAGGUUGAAGUUGCCGUAAAAGGCAAUGGAGGACCGAACGCACAUCCGUUGAAAAGGGUGGCGAUGAGGUGUGGAUAGGGGAGAAAUUCCAAUCGAACCCGGAGAUAGCUGGUUCUCCUCGAAAUAGCUUUAGGGCUAGCCUCGUAUUAGUUCCAUGGAGGUAGAGCACUGAAUUUCCUAGGGGGCGUCAAAGUCUACCGAAGAAUAUCAAACUCCGAAUGCCAUAGGAAUGCUGUACGGGAGUCAGACUGCACGAGAUAAGUUGGGCAGUCAAAAGGGAAAGAGCCCAGACCUACAGCUAAGGUCCCAAAGUACGUGUUAAGUGGAAAAGGAUGUGGGAUUUCAGAGACAACUAGGAUGUUGGCUUAGAAGCAGCCAUACAUUCAAAGAGUGCGUAAUAGCUCACUAGUCGAGAGGUCCUGCGCCGAAAAUGUCCGGGGCUGAAACACGACACCGAAGCUUAGGAAUACACUAGGAACUUUAGUUCCUUUUGUANNNNNNNNNNAGGUCCUGCGCCGAAAAUGUCCGGGGCUGAAACACGACACCGAAGCUUAGGAAUGUGAGUAAUCACGUUGGUAGAGGAGCAUUCUUACCGGGAAGAAGCAGUAUUGUAAGGUAUUGUGGACUGGUAAGAAGAGAGAAUGCCGGAAUGAGUAGCGAGAUGGAGGUGAGAAUCCUCCAGGCCGAAUAUCUAAGGUUUCCAGGGUAAAGCUGAUCUGCCCUGGGUAAGUCGGGGCCUAAGGCGAGGUCGAAAGACGUAGCCGAUGGACAACAGGUUGAGAUUCCUGUACUAUCAUAUGACAGAACUGUGGGGACACAGAGGGAAAGCCUGAGCCGGGAAAGGGAAACCCGGUGCAAGCGAAGUAGGAGUUGGACUGGCAAAUCCGUCCGNNNNNNNNNNNNNNNNNNNNNNNNNNNNNNNNNNNNNNNNNNNNNNNNNNNNNNNNNNNNNNNNNNNNNNNNNNNNNNNNNNNNNNNNNNNNNNNNNNNNNNNNNNNNNNNNNNNNNNNNNGGGAAAGCCUGAGCCGGGAAAGGGAAACCCGGUGCAAGCGAAGUAGGAGCUGGAUUGGCAAAUCCGUUCAGCAAUCCGAAGGCGUGACGCGUACCGAAUUCAAGUAGGGAAGCAGGUGAGCCAGCUGUCGAGAAAAGCCGCUAUUGCUCAUAUGAUACCCGUACCGUAAACCGACACAGGUGGAUGAGGAGAGAAUCCUAAGGCCGGCGGGAGAAGCAUUGUUAAGGAACUCGGCAAAAUGACCCCGUAACUUCGGGAGAAGGGGUGCCUCUGAAAGGAGGCCGCAGAGAAUAGGCUCAAGCAACUGUUUAGCAAAAACACAGGUCUAUGCGAAACCGAAAGGUGAGGUAUAUGGGCUGACGCCUGCCCGGUGCUGGAAGGUUAAGAGGAGGAGUCAGGCAACGAAGCUCCGAAUUUAAGCCCCAGUAAACGGCGGCCGUAACUAUAACGGUCCUAAGGUAGCGAAAUUCCUUGUCGGGUAAGUUCCGACCCGCACGAAAGGCGUAAUGAUUUGAGCGCUGUCUCGACAAUGCACCCGGUGAAAUUGAAGUACCAGUGAAGAUGCUGGUUACCUGCGCCAGGACGGAAAGACCCCAUGGAGCUUUACUCCAGCUUGAUACUGGGAUUCGAUGCUGUAUGUACAGGAUAGGUGGGAGACUAAGAAGUGAUUACGCCAGUAAUCAUGGAGUCGAUGUUGGGAUACCACUCUUGCAGCAUUGGGUUUCUAACCUGCGCCCGUGACCCGGGCGGGGGACAAUGUCUGGCGGGGAGUUUGACUGGGGCGGUCGCCUCCGAAAGGGUAUCGGAGGCGCUCAAAGGUUCCCUCAGGAUGGUUGGAAACCAUCCGAAGAGUGCAAAGGCAGAAGGGAGCUUGACUGUGACACCGACGGGUGGAGCAGGUACGAAAGUAGGACUUAGUGAUCCGGUGGUAUUAAGUGGGAAUGCCAUCGCUCAACGGAUAAAAGCUACCCUGGGGAUAACAGGCUUAUCACUCCCAAGAGUUCACAUCGACGGAGUGGUUUGGCACCUCGAUGUCGGCUCAUCGCAUCCUGGGGCUGUAGCAGGUCCCAAGGGUUGGGCUGUUCGCCCAUUAAAGCGGUACGCGAGCUGGGUUCAGAACGUCGUGAGACAGUUCGGUCCCUAUCCGGCGCAGGCGAAGGAUAUUUGAGAGGAGCUGUCCUUAGUACGAGAGGACCGGGAUGGACGGACCGCUGGUGAAUCUGUUGGCUACCAAAGCCAUGGCAGAGUAGCCAAGUCCGGCAGGGAUAAACGCUGAAGGCAUCUAAGCGUGAAGCCCCCCUCAAGAUGAGAUAUCCCAAUAAGUAAGACCCCUUAGAGAGUAUGAGGUAGAUAGGCUGGAGGUGGAAGUGCAGUAAUGUAUGUAGCUGACCAGUACUAAUCGGUCGAGGGCUUAUCCUGA
rnacentral:rRNA from 1 species